GAUCAUUCCCUGUGCUGCUCCCCUCACGCCUGUGUGCUUGAUUCCUCUGUCCGCGAGGAAAAGGAAGCAUCCAGUUCGCUGUGAAACGUGAGCACGAUGUCUUCCACAUCUUGCGCAAUCAGCCAGCCCUCACUUAGGCUUACAAUAUUCCCAUAGUAUCUUUUCUGACCUUUCUAAUUAUUUUUUAUUUUUUGUAUUUUGUUUUGCAGUCAAUGGGUGACAGGGACGUACGGCCGCAUGACAUGUGUGUACAGCACAUGUCUAUAUAUGUACUAGUAUGUAGUAUAUACCCGCCCCGGGGAGAGAAGGAGGAAUCAUGAGGUUGAGGUGAGAACACAGGGUGCCACCAAAAUGGAAAAAUAAAAAUAAAAAUAAAAAUUGCGCCGGAUGAAGUAGUUGUUCACACACUCCUGAAAUAAGCGGGCGGGAAAUACUCGCAAGAUGUUCAAAAACCGCUGCUUCCCUCCUCACACAAAAGAAGAGGAUAUCCUAGCGUGAGGUUCUAGAUGGAAGGGAAUGGUACUCGGAGACCUUAGAAGCCUGUGGGGGGGAAUUGGGGUUUCGUAACCGUGAGAGUGACAGCAAAUCGUCUGGAGGAGUCGAGCAAAAAGAGAAAAAGAAAAGAAAGGCAAAGAAACACAACUCAGUGUCUUCUCGCUUCCCCCGCAUGGUUUGAUUGCUCAAAAUAAAAUAUUCAAAACCCAUCCCCUUCCUUCCAUUCCCUCCCCGCCUCCUGAGCGCGGAUUCGCGGAUCCCUGCCCCGCUCCUGCGCUCGCGCAAGAAUCUUCGUCAACUCUUGCUUCGAGGCCUCUACCUGAGCCUCCAGAAGUGCCCCCUUCCCCAACUCGGGCUGCUCCAUGUCCUCGAUCUCCUUGCGCGACUUGCCCUCACUUUCCGCAUCCGCCACCGCACCCGCCAGCCUGCGCCAUUUCUCUAGGUCUUUCUUCAAUCCUUCCUCACGUCUCAGGAGGCCGAGAUACUCAUCUACCCCUUCGGCGCCGCCGAAACAUAACCCAUACCCGUCACAGUAACACGCAUGCUUCGCGGGGCAGAAGACCGUCUGGCCCGCGAACAGCACCUGCC
rnacentral:sRNA from 2 species